CGUCCAUCCACAUCGUCAAUGUCAUCGCGCCAAUGCUAUUUGUUUGCCUCCCUUCCAAGUUUGCGACUCGAAACUUCUUCGUUUCUCUUCUAUUAUAUUCUAUACUAUACGCGCCAUCCAUGCCUAUAUAUAAUAAGGAUGUGGAUCUACCAGAAAGGUGGCGUUUCUCUUUUGUGCGGAGACAUCUGAUCAGCCUCGCUCGGACGGAGCAACAGAUCUCGAUCUCGUUAGGUUAAUAUUGAUUUUUGCCGGAGCAGGACGCGCUAAUUCGCUUGUGAUAGUUUUGUGGUUUGGGAUUUUCGUCGACUUGUUGGGGUUUCGAAAAGUGUAUUGCGUUCUGCUCGCGGAAAUGGUGACGUCGCUCGAGAUGAACGAUCGUAAAAAAAUCGGGCUCGGUUUGACGGGCUUUGGAGUUUUCUUUUCAUUUUUGGGGAUCAUUCUCUUCUUUGAUGCAGGUCUUCUUGCAAUGGGAAAUAUCCUAUUCUUCUUGGGGGUGGCAUUAACAAUUGGACUCGAUUCAUCUGCCAAGUUCUUUAUGAAGCCUUCAAAUUUCAAGGGGACUGUUUCAUUUGGUGUUGGCUUUUUCUUCGUCAUAUUUGGAUGGCCCAUAAUUGGGAUGAUUGUUGAGGCAUAUGGAUUUGUUGUGCUCUUCAGUGGGUUUUGGCCGACGUUGGCUGUCUUUCUGCAGAGGAUACCAGCAAUUGGUUGGCUCUUCCAACAUCCAUUUGUGAGAUUGUUUCUUGAUCGCUUGCGAGGGAGAAGGGUGCCUGUGUAAGAAUAAUUUACAGAAAUGCAGCCCAAGAAUAAUGUAUAUUGUGCAUUGCAUUUGGGAUCAUCACAUAAAGACAAGAGUUUGAUGUGAUGAAAGCUGGAAUGGCUCUCUUAAUCAGCAGAUGAAAAACAGACAGAAUGAUGUAGAUCAAUGUCAAUAACUGAAAGCAUACAUUACUUGUUCCCGGAGUUCCUUCAAUGUCAUGCUUUUGACAUUAAGAUCAUCGCAGCCUUCGUCUCUCCACACAAUGGCUAAGCUAUCAUCGUGCUUCUUCAAAUAACUGUUUGGCUGAAUACAACAGUCAGCAAUAUUCAAAAUUGCACCAGGCAGCCAGGUUCCGUGAGGUUUGGAUUUAUCA